UUGAUUCCCUCUUUCUGGACCAUGCAAGGAAAGGCAGCAGGACUCAUCCUUAUACCCUUAUUGGACAGAGGAGCAGACGUUUUACGAGUUUUUGCAACCAUCUUUAAGAAUGGAAAAGUUCAAGGAAGAUAUAUUUUGUACAUUUACUGUUAAACUGUAAAAAAUAAUGUUAUUUAACCAUUGUAAUAUUAUACAGUAAAAUAAAAUGGCUACAUGUG